rnacentral:lncRNA from 12 species
UAUUGCAUUCUUAUUUAAUGUAUUCUUCUCAAGCCAAAGUCCACUUCUUCAACCUGGCCUUAUAGCUCAGUAACGUUUGUUCUUGGUCAUCAGAGUCACACAUCCAAUUCUGGCAUUGGAAAAACAAAUCAAACUUCAGUCAUACUCUGGAAAGGAGAGAAGCAUAGUACUUUUGCAAAAGACUA